rnacentral:rRNA from 1 species
GAUGAACGCUGGCGGCGUGCCUAAUACAUGCAAGUCGAGCGAACAGACGAGGAGCUUGCUCCUCUGACGUUAGCGGCGGACGGGUGAGUAACACGUGGAUAACCUACCUAUAAGACUGGGAUAACUUCGGGAAACCGGAGCUAAUACCGGAUAAUAUAUUGAACCGCAUGGUUCAUUAGUGAAAGACGGUUUUGCUGUCACUUAUAGAUGGAUCCGCGCCGCAUUAGCUAGUUGGUAAGGUAACGGCUUACCAAGGCAACGAUGCGUAGCCGACCUGAGAGGGUGAUCGGCCACACUGGAACUGAGACACGGUCCAGACUCCUACGGGAGGCAGCAGUAGGGAAUCUUCCGCAAUGGGCGAAAGCCUGACGGAGCAACGCCGCGUGAGUGAUGAAGGUCUUCGGAUCGUAAAACUCUGUUAGUAGGGAAGAACAAAUGUGUAAGUAACUAUGCACGUCUUGACGGUACCUAAUCAGAAAGCCACGGCUAACUACGUG